GAUGAACGCUGGCGGCGUGCUUAACACAUGCAAGUCGAACGGAAAGGCCGAAGCUUGCUUCGGUACUCGAGUGGCGAACGGGUGAGUAACACGUGGGUGAUCUGCCCUGUACUUCGGGAUAAGCUUGGGAAACUGGGUCUAAUACCGGAUAUGGCGAUCUCUUGGAUGGGGUUGUGGAAAGCUUUUGCGGUAUGGGAUGAGCUCGCGGCCUAUCAGCUUGUUGGUGGGGUAAUGGCCUACCAAGGCGUCGACGGGUAGCCGGCCUGAGAGGGUGUACGGCCACAUUGGGACUGAGAUACGGCCCAGACUCCUACGGGAGGCAGCAGUGGGGAAUAUUGCACAAUGGGCGCAAGCCUGAUGCAGCGACGCCGCGUGGGGGAUGACGGCCUUCGGGUUGUAAACUCCUUUCGCAAUCGACGAAGCCUUUUGGUGACGGUAGGUUGAGAAGAAGCACCGGCUAACUACGUG
rnacentral:rRNA from 1 species